GACGAACCGUCCAAACGUUAUUCGGUAUCACUGGGCUUAAAGGGUGCGUAGGCGGCCGAGUAAGUUGGGUGUGAAAGCCCUCGGCUCAGCCGAGGAAUUGCGCCCAAAACUGCUCGGCUCGAGGGAGAUAGAGGUGAGCGGAACUUAGGGUGGAGCGGUGAAAUGCGUUGAUAUCCUAAGGAACACCGGAGGCGAAGGCGGCUCACUGGGUCUUUCCUGACGCUGAGGCACGAAAGCUAGGGGAGCGAACGGG
rnacentral:rRNA from 1 species